rnacentral:rRNA from 1 species
AGUGAACGCUGGCGGUAGGCCUAACACAUGCAAGUCGAACGGCAGCACAGUAAGAGCUUGCUCUUACGGGUGGCGAGUGGCGGACGGGUGAGGAAUACAUCGGAAUCUACUUUUUCGUGGGUGAGAACGUAGGGAAACUUACGCUAAUACCGCAUACGACCUACGGGUGAAAGCAGGGGAUCUUCGGACCUUGCGCGAUUGAAUGAGCCGAUGUCGGAUUAGCUAGUUGGCGGGGUAAAGGCCCACCAAGGCGACGAUCCGUAGCUGGUCUGAGAGGAUGAUCAGCCACACUGGAACUGAGACACGGUCCAGACUCCUACGGGAGGCAGCAGUGGGGAAUAUUGGACAAUGGGCGCAAGCCUGAUCCAGCCAUACCGCGUGGGUGAAGAAGGCCUUCGGGUUGUAAAGCCCUUUUGCUGGGAAAGAAAAGCAGCAGGUUAAUACCCCGCUGUUCUGACGGUACCCAAAGAAUAAGCACCGGCUAACUUCGUG